UGGGGAAUAUUGGACAAUGGGCGCAAGCCUGAUCCAGCCAUGCCGCGUGAGUGAUGAAGGCCUUAGGGUUGUAAAGCUCUUUCAGCGGGGACGAUAAUGACGGUACCCGCAGAAGAAGCCCCGGCUAACUUCGUGCCAGCAGCCGCGGUAAUACGAAGGGGGCUAGCGUUGUUCGGAAUCACUGGGCGUAAAGGGCGCGUAGGCGGCUUUGUAAGUCGGGGGUGAAAGCCUGUGGCUCAACCACAGAAUUGCCUUCGAUACUGCAUGGCUUGAGACCGGAAGAGGUUAGUGGAACUGCGAGUGUAGAGGUGAAAUUCGUAGAUAUUCGCAAGAACACCAGUGGCGAAGGCGGCUGACUGGUCCGGUUCUGACGCUGAGGCGCGAAAGCGUGGGGAGCAAACAGG
rnacentral:rRNA from 1 species